rnacentral:lncRNA from 1 species
UGUAAUUAGUUUUAAAAUAAGUUUUGCAAAUUAAUAAAAUAUAAAAAUAUAAAGAAAUGUAUAAAUAAAUUACAGAAAUGUACAAAUGCAAAACAGCUUUCAAUGACCAAUGAAAUUUAGUGUUUUAAAAACACUUUCAGGAUAUAAAUCUAGUUUCUUUGCAUAAUAAAUGAUAAAAUAUAACUGUAUAAUAUUAAAACUAUACUACAAUAUAUACAACUUAGAAGAUAUAUAUAUAUACACACACACACACACACACACACAUACAUACAUAGAGAUGCAUAUAGCAUCUGUAGCAAUAUAGCAAGAACUGCUUGGUGUUCUAUGUGGUCUGUUACAUGUCAUUCAUGCAGCAAUAUAUUUCCUCUCCCAAUAUCACUUUUGGAAGAGGCCACCCACCACAUGUAACUAGCCAUUUUCAAGCAUCAUUAAGCAUUUCUGCAUCUUUUUUACUAAUUAUGGAUUUGUUCAGAUUUUCUUUAAAAAUGUGCCUUUUUUUUUUUUUUAAUAAAAUCAGGAUCUGUGGGUCAGAUUUGGGCUAUAAUUUUUGCAUUCUUCC